UAUAAGAAAUAUACUUUGUUUUCUCUUCUUAGUUUAAGCUGUCAGACUUCAUUCUAUAUCACAGUUUUAUUCAAAGAGAAGUCACAAACAUUCAUAUGUUUACUACCCAAGUUUCACUUCCUUCCCAAACCCGAACCAAUACCGCUCUGAAUGCCCAUUCAAUCGACAUCAUCUAGCUCAACAAAGAUUUUACGAAACAAGACUACAAGCAAAAAAUCAACGACAGUCUCGCAUCAAACUAUUAUCCCGAUCAAAUAUAUCAAGAUCACUUAAGGUGAGAAUAAGGAAGCAAGUAGGAGACCAAGGAAGGUGGAUUUUAUUGAUUAAAGACAGCAAGCAACAUGAAGUAGGAAUUCCUUGCGGAUGGAAGAAGCGCCCAGCUCAAACCCUGGUUGGCUCGUUCAACAAGUAAAGCAUUUAACACGUGUUAAAUGUUAUACUCAUGUUACAUGCUUUCCAUGUUCAGCCAAAGUUUUUCGCACAUGCUAGUGUGAUUUCAGUAGCUUCUCUUAGACGCCAUUGAGCCUUGUUUCUUCCAUAAAAGAACGCUUCCGUCCAUUGUAAAUGGAACUUGAAUGAGAAUUAGUGUUAUGCUGUUGAAAUU